GUGCUCGCUUUGGCAGUACAUGUACUAAACUUUGAACAAUACAGAGGAGAUUAGCAUAGCCCCUGCAAAAGGAUGACAGGCAGAUUUGUGAAAUGUUCCAUAUAUAA